GUGCUCACUUCAGCAGCACAUACACUAAAAUUGGAACGAUACAGAGAAGAUUAGAAUGGCCCCUGCACAAGGAUGACAUGCAAAUUCGUGAAGCAAUAGCCUACUUGU